UCGUCUCUUCUGGCUUAUGCGGAUUCUAAGUAGUAGUGCCGCAGGUCACUGAUAUUGGGUAACCUGCUCCCUGCUACUUAAGAUCCUUGAAGCCCUUCUUCAACA
rnacentral:pre_miRNA from 10 species